GAUGAACGCUGGCGGCGCGCCUAACACAUGCAAGUCGAACGGUUAAAGCACCUUCGGGUGUGUAUAAAGUGGCGAACGGCUGAGUAACACGUGGGCAACCUGCCCCUCGCACCGGGAUAGCCUCGGGAAACCGUGGUUAAUACCGGAUACUCCGGGACCCCCGCAUGGGGGUGCCGGGAAAGCCCUGACGGCGAGGGAUGGGCCCGCGGCCUGUUAGCUUGUUGGCGGGGUAACGGCCCACCAAGGCGAUUAUGGGUAGCCGGGUUGAGAGACGACUGGCCAGAUUGGGACUGAGAAACGGUCCAGAUCCUACGGGAGGCAGCACGGUCAAUACGUUCC
rnacentral:rRNA from 1 species